rnacentral:rRNA from 1 species
AUGGACCACAAGCAAGACACGGAGCCGCUGCUCCCGGCGGCGGACGAAUGGUGCCGGCAGGGCCUCGCCGCGGCCGAGGCAAAGCGGCUGGUUCGCCUCGCCGGGCCGAUGAUCACCAGCUGCUUGCUGCAGAACAUCAUCAACAUAAUGUCCCUCAUGUUCGUCGGCCACCUCGGCGAGCUUCCCCUCGCCGGCGCCUCCCUCGCCAACUCCGUCGCCAGCGUCACCGGCUUCAGUAUCAUCAUCGGCAUGGCGACUGCGCUGGACACGCUGUGCGGGCAGGCGUACGGCGCGCGGCAGCACCACCUGCUCGGCGUCUACAAGCAGCGCGCCAUGGUGGUGCUCGGGCUCACCUGCGUCCCCAUCGCCGUCGUCUGGGCGCACACCGGCCGGAUCCUGGUGCUCCUCGGCCAGGACCCGCGCAUCGCCGCCGAGGCCGGCGCCUACGCGCGGUGGCUCAUCCCGUCGCUUGCCGUGAGCGUGCCGCUGCAGUGCCACGUCCGGUUCCUGCAGGCGCAGAGCCUCGUCCUGCCCGUGACGGCCAGCUCGGCCGCCGCGGCACUCUGCCACCUCGCCGUGUGCUGGGCGCUCGUGUUCAAGGCCGGCAUGGGUGCCAAAGGAGCCGCGCUCAGCAACGCCAUCUCGUACGCCGUGAACCUGGUGAUGCUGUCCCUGUACGUCAGGCUGUCGAGCUCCUGCAGGGACACGUGGAACGGGUUCUCCAUGGAGGGGUUUAAGGAUCUGCGCAAAUUCGCCGAUCUCGUCGUGCCCUCUGCGAUGAUGAUCUGCUUGGAGUGGUGGGCUUUCGAAACACUUGUGCUGCUGUCUGGUCUUCUGCCCAACCCUCAGCUGGAGACUUCAGUGCUGUCAAUUUGCCUUAACACUGGGAUUCUUCUCUUCAUGAUACCAUCGGGGCUUGGUUAUUCUGUGAGCACGCGCGUUUCCAACGAACUUGGUGCCGGACAGCCUCAGGCAGCAAAGUUGGCAACGAGGGUAGUCGUGUGCAUCGCCUUGUUCCUAGGCUUCGUCCUGACCUUGGGCAUGACCCUGCUACGCCACGUUUGGGGGUACAUGUACAGCAACGAGCCGGAGGUCGUGGCAUACAUUGCCAAGAUGCUGCCGGUUCUUGGGAUAUCUUUCUUCAUAGAUGGCCUUCACGGAUCUCUCUCAGGCGUGCUCACGGGCUGCGGCAAGCAAAAGAUCGGCGCCACGGUGAACCUCGGCGCGUUCUACUUGGCAGGCAUCCCUAUGGCGGUGCUGCUUGCGUUUGUCUUCCAUCUCAAUGGAAUGGGCCUUUGGCUCGGCAUCGUCUGCGGCAGCCUCAUCAAAGUGCUCUUGUUUGCAUCUGUCACAUGGACCAUAGACUGGAGCAUGGAAGCUACCAAGGCAAAGGACAGGGUAUUCGGCUCAUCUCUGCCAGUAGCAUGA